rnacentral:tRNA from 1 species
GGUAUGAGUCUAUGACGAAAGAAAGCUUCUAACUUCACUCUCAAGCGGUGAAACCCCGUUUUCACACCU